rnacentral:tRNA from 1 species
GGAGAGAUGGCUGAGUGGCUGAAGGCGCACGCUUGGAAAGCGUGUAGGUGGCGUUAGCCGCCUCGAGGGUUCGAAUCCCUCUCUCUCCGCCA